rnacentral:rRNA from 1 species
ACAGGGAUUGCCCUAGUAACGGCGAGUGAAGCGGCAACAGCUCAAAUUUGAAAUCUGGCUCUUUUAGAGUCCGAGUUGUAAUUUGCAGAGGGCGCUUUGGCUUUGGCAGCGGUCCAAGUUCCUUGGAACAGGACGUCACAGAGGGUGAGAAUCCCGUACGUGGUCGCUGGCUAUUGCCGUGUAAAGCCCCUUCGACGAGUCGAGUUGUUUGGGAAUGCAGCUCUAAAUGGGAGGUACAUUUCUUCUAAAGCUAAAUAUUGGCCAGAGACCGAUAGCGCACAAGUAGAGUGAUCGAAAGAUGAAAAGCACUUUGGAAAGAGAGUCAAACAGCACGUGAAAUUGUUGAAAGGGAAGCGCUUGCAGCCAGACUUGCUUGCAGUUGCUCAUCCGGGCUUUUGCCCGGUGCACUCUUCUGUAGGCAGGCCAGCAUCAGUUUGGGCGGUAGGAUAAAGGUCUCUGUCACGUACCUCUCUUCGGGGAGGCCUUAUAGGGGGGACGACAUACUACCAGCCUGGACUGAGGUCCGCGCAUCUGCUAGGAUGCUGGCGUAAUGGCUGUAAGCGGCCCGUCUUGAAACACGGACCAAGGAGUCUAACAUCUAUGCGAGUGUUUGGGUGUCAAGCCCGAGCGCGUAAUGAAAGUGAACGGAGGUGGGAACCCGCAAGGGUGCACCAUCGACCGAUCCUGAUGUCUUCGGAAGGAUUUGAGUAAGAGCAUGGCUGUUGGGACCCGAAAGAUGGUGAACUAUGCUUGAAUAGGGUGAAGCCAGAGGAAACUCUGGUGGAGGCUCGCAGCGGUUCUGACGUGCAAAUCGAUCGUCAAAUUUGGGCAUAGGGGCGAAAGACUAAU